rnacentral:rRNA from 1 species
UACGGAGGGUGCAAGCGUUGUUCGGAAUCGCUGGGCGUAAAGCGCGUGUAGGCGGCCACUUAAGUCUGAUGUGAAAGCCCUGGGCUCAACUCAGGAAGUGCAUUGGAUACUGGGUGGCUGGAGUACCGGAGAGGAGGGUGGAAUUCCUGGUGUAGCGGUGAAAUGCGCAGAUAUCAGGAGGAACACCCGUGGCGAAAGCGGCUCUCUGGGACGGUACUGACGCUGAGACGCGAAAGCGUGGGGAGCAAACAGG